AGCAGCCGCGGUAAUUCCAGCUCCAAUAGCGUAUAUUAAAGUUGCUGCAGUUAAAAAGCUCGUAGUUGAAUUUCGGGACCAUCAUGUCGGUCGUGCCUCGGUACGUACUGGCAUUGUUGGUUUCUACCUUCUGACGAACCAUGAUGUCAUUUAUUUGGUGUCGUGGGAAAUCAGGACUGUUACUUUGAAAAAAUUAGAGUGUUUAAAGCAGGCUCACGCUUGAAUACAUUAGCAUGGAAUAAUGAAAUAGGACGUUUGAUUCUAUUUUGUUGGUUUCUAGGAUCGACGUAAUGAUUAAUAGGGAUAGUUGGGGGCAUUAGUAUUCAAUUGUCAGAGGUGAAAUUCUUGGAUUUAUUGAAGACUAACUACUGCGAAAGCAUUUGCCAAGGAUGUUUUCAUUAAUCAAGAACGAAAGUUAGGGAUCGAAGACGAUCAGAUACCGUCGUAGUC
rnacentral:rRNA from 1 species